ensembl:lncRNA
GUCCCUUCAGUGCUGCAGUGAGUGGUGUUUCACUGAGAUGUUGCUGGGUUUAUUUUCCCAGCUCAGCUUCUGGGUUUGCAGACUGAAGCAGAAAGAUAACCCAGCAAACAAUUCAUAAAUACCAGUCGCUUUUCAGGACAGAAGCAGUUUCCACGUCUGCCACAGCUGCUGCAUAAGCCCAACAGCUCCUAAAUUGGAAUCUACCUUCUCUGUCCUGGAACACAUUGCUUUGAUCUCUUUGGACAAUAACUGAGCUCAGGGGGCCCCAAAAAACCCCAAGUCACAGAGCUUAAACUUUUUAUCACAACCAUCCAGAGGAAAGUCUCUAACUUCUUGGCACCUACACAAAUGUACUGUGAAGUAGCCACUGUGGCAUGGAGAAGUUGUUUUGCCUCAGGAAAAGUUAGUGAGAAGAUUGCAGAAUAUCUCUAGGCACCCAGAAGAUGCCUGCAAUAAUAUUUCCUUGGAGAACCACGUAAGCCAUUCCUCCCCAUAACGAAUUACAUUCCAGAUAAGCUGUUGUCAGAAUGAACUCUCAUCAAGGAAAGACAGAAGUUGAGUAGCAAGGUAGAGAUCUUGAAUUGCCCAAGACUGAAGAAAUGUCAGGAAAAACAAUGAAAGCCAUUAGCCUGAUGUUCCUCCUGUGGCAUAUUGAAAAAGCAGGGCACUAUCCCCAGUGUUCCAGCACCAGUGAGACAAGAGGAGGCAGCCACCAUCCCUGUGGAUCGACUACAGUCUUUAAAUCUGCCCUUUGUCAUCGGUAACAUAAUCCAGUAACAGAUAGUAGAUAGGAGGUUAAUAUAACAAUACCACCUCACACUCUGUUCUCUAUAUUGCUGAACAUUUAUUUUUUUUAAAUAAUAUAUUCCAGUCACGGGAAUUUGUCUAAUUAUCAUUGCAGAUCAAUUUCGAGUUAGUAGCAGUGCCACAAGCUCUGAAGAAGCAAGAAGUCACGUUUUCUCUAUAGCAAGCCAAGGAUCAAAUAAAUACAAUGCCUGGUUCA